AUUGAACGCUGGCGGCAUGCCUUACACAUGCAAGUCGAACGGUAACAGGUCUUCGGAUGCUGACGAGUGGCGAACGGGUGAGUAAUACAUCGGAACGUGCCCGAUCGUGGGGGAUAACGAAGCGAAAGCUUUGCUAAUACCGCAUAAGAUCUACGGAUGAAAGCAGGGGACCGCAAGGCCUUGCGCGAACGGAGCGGCCGAUGGCAGAUUAGGUAGUUGGGGGGAUAAAAGCUUACCAAGCCGACGAUCUGUAGCUGGUCUGAGAGGACGACCAGCCACACUGGGACUGAGACACGGCCCAGACUCCUACGGGAGGCAGCAGUGGGGAAUUUUGGACAAUGGGCGAAAGCCUGAUCCAGCCAUGCCGCGUGCAGGAUGAAGGCCUUCGGGUUGUAAACUGCUUUUGUACGGAACGAAAAGACUCUUUCUAAUAAAGAGGGUCCAUGACGGUACCGUAAGAAUAAGCACCGGCUAACUACGUGCCAGCCGCCGCUGUAAUAC
rnacentral:rRNA from 1 species